rnacentral:rRNA from 1 species
AUCUUGCGCAAUGGCCUAACGGCUGACGCAGCGACGCCGCGUGCGGGAGGAAGGCCUUCGGGUCGUAAACCGCUGUCAGUGGGGACGAACCCCUGGGGGAGGCAAUGCCUCCAGGCUGACGGUACCCACAGAGGAAGCACCGGCUAACUCCGUGCCAGCAGCCGCGGUAAUACGGAGGGUGCAAGCGUUGUUCGGAAUCAUUGGGCGUAAAGCGCGCGCAGGCGGCUUGGUAAGUCUUGUGGUCAAAUGCCGGGGCUCAACCCCGUGCUCGCCCGAGAGACUGCCAGGCUGGAGGCAGGUAGAGGCGAGUGGAAUUCCGGGUGUAGCGGUGGAAUGCGUAGAGAUCCGGAAGAACACCGGAGGCGAAGGCGGCUCGCUGGACCUGACCUGACGCUGAGGCGCGAAAGCGUGGGGAGCGAACAGG